UGCAGCACACCAACCACCUGCAAAAUGUCUUUAAAUGGCCGAUGCCUUCUGCUCACAGAAGACUUGAUGUUAAUUCAAGUGACCACCUUUACUGGGACGGCGACAGUUCGUCCGGUGAGGACAGCCGUGUUGAGGAUCUCAGUCUCCUGGGAAGAAACAGAAAGAAGCACAUCAGAAAACCAAUGAAAACUCAACAUGUUGUCGUUUGGAGUGUUUUCUUCAAAAAGACAGCCCCUCAGUAUCAUGUAUCUGAAGGCCAUCCAUCCAUCCAUCCAUCCAUUUUCUUCCGCCUAUCCGGGGUCGGGUCGCGGGGGCAGCAGCUUCAGAAGGG